AAGUGAUGAAAUCACCUAAAAAAGCUGGAAUUACCGGCAGAUUGUGUGGUGGUGAACCUACGGUUUUCUGAAG
ensembl:snoRNA SNORD65 small nucleolar RNA, C/D box 65